GACUUUAAGUCUCCUGAAGGAACGUUGAAGACGACGACGUUGAUAGGCCGGGUGUGUAAGCGCAGCGAUGCGUUGAGCUAACCGGUACUAAUGAACCGUGAGGCUUAACCUU
rnacentral:rRNA from 1 species